rnacentral:rRNA from 1 species
GACGUAGGGCGUGAGCGUUGUCCGGAUUUAUUGGGCGUAAAGAGCUCGUAGGCGGCUUGUCGCGUCGACUGUGAAAUCCCGCGGCUCAACUGCGGGUCUGCAGUCGAUACGGGCAGGCGUAGAGUUCGGUAGGGGAGACUGGAAUUCCUGGUGUAGCGGUGAAAUGCGUAGAUAUCGAGAGGAACACCUGCGGCGAAGGCGGGUAGCUGGGCCGACACUGACGCUGAGGCGCGAAAGCCAGGGGAGCGAACGGG